AGCUCCAAUAGCGUAUAUUAAAGUUGUUGCAGUUAAAAAGCUCGUAGUUGGAUUUCUGGUAGGAGUAGUGGCUAUGGGUCUUUGACCUAUUAAGUUGCUAUCUUCAACCAUCCUUGGAAAGAUUUAGUCUGGCAUUAAGUUGUCGGAUUAAAGAUAUCCAUCAUUUACUGUGAAAAAAUCAGAACGUUCAAAGUAAGCAUUUUGCUCUUGAAUGUAUUAGCAUGGAAUAAUGAAAUAGGACUUAGGUACUACUUUGUUGGUUUAUGCACCUAGGUAAUGAUUAAUAGGGAUAGUUGGGGGUAUUCGUAUUCCAAUGUUAGAGGUGAAAUUCUUGGAUUUUUGGAAGACGAACAACUGCGAAAGCAUUUACCAAGGAUGUUUUCAUUA
rnacentral:rRNA from 1 species